UCCGACAUACCCACUAUAGAAUAUAUACAUAUAGACAAAACAUAGGCUCUAGAAAUCUGUCAGCUCUAAAACUCCAAAUAGAGAUGGAAGACAAUGUGUCUACUAUGAAUGCAUGAUAUCCUGAGUACUUGAGCCUGCAUUUACAAAAAUAUAGCGCCCCCAAAAGUAGGAACGUCAAUACAUAUAAAACAUCUACUAGUAUAUAGACUAGACCAAAUAAAAAAUAAACACAAGAAUUCUCAAAUGAAUUACAUGUCAAAAUGCACGAAUUUUCGAGCUAUAAGCUCAACAAUUAUGAUAAGUCAAUGGUGUAUUUCCACACCCUUUAUAUUUCCCCGCUUCCCAACUGAGAUAUGAUCCUUCUAUGAGUUUAAGAUUACUCCCUCCAUCCUUAUUUCACAAUAUACAUAUAUAUAUAUAUAUAUAUAUAUAUACACACACACACACUUACACCUUCCAAAUAAAGGUAUAAAAUUGAACUCAUAUGCUUUGUAGAUGAAGAGGGAGUUGAAAAAAUAUCUUUAGCAGACAAAUCUUUCUGAUUUCCCUAUCGAAACGUUGUUGCAAAAUCUUAGCUUGAAACUAACAUUAAGUAAUUAGAAGCUCAAUUUAGCAACUACGGUGAUGGGCAACCCAAAAUAGAUUCUGAGCCUUGAGAAUAUUUACCUUGGACUUUGGUCAGCUAGACCCCACUAGACCCAAUGUAUAUGAUCUCUCGUGCCAGCUAGUCAAGAACUUGUGGGCAUCCUCCCCUAGGACCCCUACAACCCCCAAAAAUUGCAGAGGAGCGAAUCUCAAGAACCUACCCAACAUCUUCUGCUCCUCUAUUUUCAUGGAAGCUAAACUUGCCGCAGGCUGAGCUAUCGCAGAGGCUGGUUGUACCUCAAUAUGAGGAGCCCCAGUGACAGGCUACACUCCUAGGUCUAGAAUGGAUGGCACUAGGAUCUUCUACAUGCCUCUAAGUGCUUCUAGGAGCUGUGAAAUGACUGGCAAUCUGAAGCCCCACGCAUAUGCAGGCUUGAGUGACUGUUGCACUGGUCCCGACCCCACCAACUGAGGAAUAGGCAACGAUUGUGGCUCAAUGAUGGGAUAGGUGUAACAUCUCUUCCCUAACCUUGAGAUGGUGCUACAGCUCGUCUCUGACCUCAAGGUCAACCUCUAUCUUAUUCCCCUAGUUGGGGCCCUACAUGUAGGCUCAGGAGCAUCGCCCCUAGCUAUUGCACCCCUCAUACGAACCAUCUAUAAAAAAUUAGAACAAAUGAUAUUUUUAGAAACUAAACAUGACUAAGACGCAUGAAAAGGAAUCAAAGGUGAGAAUUACCUAAUAUGUCAUGUAGCCUCCCGAAAAAUGAACACAAACAUCGACUGAUUCAUAGGAUUCUAAUAGACUCCAGCUUUGUACGGAUGACAUCAGUGAACCUGGA
rnacentral:lncRNA from 1 species